AUGGGAACUCUGUGGCCGCUCCUCUACCUGCUCGACUCGCUCUCCUCGCAGUACCGCGCCGCCGCCGUGGCUUCGUGCCUCCCAAAUCUUCCCAUCGCCGCCCCACCGCGGAAUGCCACCUCGGGGACGGUGCCGGGCGCCGGUGGCAGGCCGGGCUCACGGGUGCACGGGGCGCCGCCGGGCGGCCUGGUGCUGGUCUCCAAGGAUCCGGACAACAUCCGCGACAUCGCCACUGGAAUGGUUGUCAAUCCACGCCCAUUUAUUGAAGUCCGGUCUGCUGCUCCUAACCAUAUAGAGAAUGCUUUGAGAGAUGUACACAAGAGAGCCACCCAAAUGCUUGCCCAACAAGCAGUGGGAAAUCAGCUCCAGCUUUUAAUUGUAAUUCUUCCUGAAGUUAGUGGUUCUUAUG